UUUUUUGAGGAAGCUACUUCCACAGUAAUCUGGGCUACCAACAUCAAAUUCACCAAGGUCUUCAGUGGCAUCAAGAGUGUUCAUUAUUUUGUAACACUUAUCCAACCUCGCACUCCCACCAGUUUUGCGGAAUUGCUUCUUGUCCUUACCACCUUUUGAGUUGCCCUUCUGGCUCUUCUUUCCAUUUUUCUUGUUGCUACCUUUAUCUUUCCUAGACUUCUUCUGAUUGCUUUUAACAGUGUGUGAUAAUGAAUUAGGAAUCGGAUCAUACACAUCAGGUGCCCAACUCACAGUCAGCUUCCUUGGGGAUGCUCCCAGUUUUUCUCUACUACCUUUCAUGGCAGACACAAGAGGCAAUGCAGGCCUCGUGGGUUCCUCGGAGAAAAGUAGUGGCAACGCUGUUUCAGGCUCAUCAUCUUCUUCAGAUAGCAAUUUUGCACUCUUUUCUAAAGCCUCCCUAACAGGUGCUCGCCCAUGUGGCUCAAGCUCUCCCAGUCUCUCCUCUGCAUCAACGGCACCAUCUACAUCAGAUGCACAUGUUUCUUGUACAUCUUCUACAUGCACAAACUCGCGAAAAUUGCUUUCAAUUUCAUCUACCAGAACACCAACACCAACCGCACUUCGACUGGAGACAAUGUCCAUCAAUAACACCGCCAAACAAGAAAUAGAUGAACUCUUAUGAUGUCCCUUAAUAGCUCUUAUCAAGUCCAACCAAAUCGUCCAAACGCUAUCUCUAUCUCCGAUUUCUCAAAACCGAUAUAUGCUAAUCGUAGAAACUCAGAAAGCCAAAACCCAAAAAGGAACGAACAGAGAGAGAGAGAGAGAGAGAGAGAG
rnacentral:misc_RNA from 1 species